AGUACCCCGUUCACAUCCAUUUUAACGCCUGAAUUCCAUACAAGAUAAACACAACCACCACAAUCAUCAUAUGCAUCCAAUUAAGCAUCAGCAAUCCUAAUUCCUAAACUAAAAUACAAUUAAUUCCACUAAUUUAUCAGUUUUCUUUGGAUUAUUUGAUUCCAAUUGCUAUAUUUAGAAAUAUUAAAAUAUAGAUCUUUCUAAAC
rnacentral:misc_RNA from 1 species